CUCGUGUUCCCACUCCCUGAGCGUUGCUGUGUCCCAGCUGCCCAAGGAGUGCAGCUCCAACCCGCUCCUGCUGUGCUCCUGUAUCCUGAAAAGAUUCCUCACACCUCCAGGGGUCUGUGUAAAGAUUAAUUGCUGCUGGAGAGCAAAACUGCAGUACUUGCCUUUUGCUUGAAGACUUUUUGUUCUUGAUAAACAUUGUCUUAAAUAUCAAAAUAUUAGCUUUACUUACCUGUGCUUUUAAUUUAUAAUCAGACACUAAGCUAGCUGACUUGCAAACUAACAGAUGCACCGUUCAAUUCUUUAAAUAGUAUGUUUGACAUUCCUUAAAAAAAACCCCAAACAAACCCCCCAAAACCUCUCACAGUUAUAUAAUUACAGUGUAUUCAUUUUUUGACUGUUCAGAGGCCAAACUAAUUUAAUUUCACUGACAAAACUUCAAUAUAUCUUUUUCUAUUUUAUUAGACAGAGUGCACUAAAGUUUGAAGUUAUGUGUAAUCUGUUUUUAUGUUUCACUAGUUUGAUGUGGUUUCCUUUCAGGUGAGAUGAAAACCCUUCCUGUGACUCCUGCCACUGAUAAGGGGGAUCAGUGGAUGCGGGUUUGAUUGUAAUAUCCAGCUGAAUGCUGAAUGAGUCCCUGCUCUGUGCUACAUUCCCACUGAUUCUAUCCAGAGUGACUGAGCAGAUCUUACUCCUUGUACAAUGGUGUCUAAUGCUAUUUUAUCCCAGCUCAAAGUGUAUAUUCUUGAUUUAGUUCAAGAAAAUGUACAUUACUGGGGAGAAAAUGGGAAUUUAGUGCUGGCACAUUGUGAUGCCUGAUGCAGAUGAUAAAACUGCAACUCCAAGCCUGUUUACAGCUUGUGUAACUGCUGAAGCUCGAAGGGAACACAGCCUCCCACCCUCUCUCAAUGCUUCAGGAGACAGGGAUCCAAGCCCUGCCAAGGCAAACUGGUGGAGUGAAGUUAAGCACAAUUUCAAGGGAUGUGACUUGUCUGCAAGUUGUCACCCGUAAAGCAUUCAGCUCUUUUCAGAGCCAUGAUGGCUUUCAUUACCACAGCAGCUGCUUUAGUUCUGCUGCACUGCUGUGUCUUACAGUCCAUGAGAGAGAGAGGGGGAGAGAGAGAGAGAGAGAGGGAGGUUCUGAGCCGUGCCUGGGGCUGCUCAGCUGGAGGCUCCUGCUCUUGUUGCUGCAGCGGGUCCAUCUCAGGUCAGUGGCACCUGAGCUGUGCAGGCUGACUGCUGCCCUUGGGGCUGUGCCCCUGGGUGCAGGGGGGCUGUGUGGGACCCAGCUCCUCCCGUGGGGGGAACUGCCAGUGCAGGUAACACCCCAUCACCCCUGGGAACGUGCCUGUUCCCACUCCUUGUGCAGCAGUGAAUGUUGUAAAGCCCAGCAGCCAAGGGAAGAUGUUUAACUUAGGCCUGCUGGGAUCCUGUGAGCUUUAGGUGGGCAGCAGUGACCCCUUUAGGUGGGGCCUCUGGCAGUGCAGGGCAUGGACAGAAGUGCUGUGAUCACCCCCCAAACGCUGUUCAUUAGACCUCUCUAGUAUCUCAGGAGGACAUGUACCUCUCUGAGAAGUGACUCUGUGUGUUAGAUGUGUUUAAUCCAGACUUCUCUCUCCAUUUUGAUUUGGAGGAAAAAUCUGUUACGAUUUUUCUAAAUGUUUUCUCUCCUUGCUUCCCUCUUCCUCCCUGUCCCAAACCAGAAAGCUUUGGGAUAGUGUUGAUGUUCAUACAUUUUACACCUAAGUAUAAGAACAUGAAACCAUGUAUAUUAAUCGUAUUUAAGCAACUGCAAAUCAAUAGCUGCUGUUUAAAGCCAACAGAACAGUGUAAGUUUUAAGUUCAGUAAGUAUUGUAGAGAUAAACCUUGUUUGAUUGAUGAAAAUUGUGCAUAAAAUGUUACCAAUGCUGUAAAUUAUUUUUAAUAAAGAAAAUUGUAUCACAGUUCUUGUAUGUUAC
ensembl:lncRNA